UACGUAGGGAGCAAGCGUUAUCCGGAUUUAUUGGGUGUAAAGGGUGCGUAGACGGGAUUACAAGUUGGUUGUGAAACCCCUCAGCUCAACUGAGGAACUGCAACCAAAACUAUAAUUCUUGAGUGCAGGAGAGGAAAGUGGAAUUCCUAGUGUAGCGGUGAAAUGCGUAGAUAUUAGGAAGAACACCGGUGGCGAAGGCGACUUUCUGGACUGUAACUGACGUUGAGGCACGAAAGUGUGGGGAGCAAACAGG
rnacentral:rRNA from 1 species